rnacentral:rRNA from 1 species
GAUGAACGCUGGCGGCGUGCCUAACACAUGCAAGUCGAACGGAGUCCAGCCUUUAAGACCUUCGGGUCAAAGAGGGGAAGACUGAGUGGCGGACGGGUGAGUAACCCGUGGGCAACCUGGCUCAUAGAGGGGGAUAACAGAGAGAAAUUUCUGCUAAUACCGCAUAAGCACACACUGCCGCAGGGCAGAGGGUGAAAAGAGAAUCGCUAUGAGAUGGACCCGCGUCUGAUUAGCCAGUUGGCAGGGUAAGAGCCUACCAAAGCGACGAUCAGUAGCCGAUAUGAGAGGAGGAACGGCCACAUUGGGACUGAGACACGGCCCAAACUCCUACGGGAGGCAGCAGUGGGGGAUAUUACACAAUGGGGGGAAGACUGAUGCAGCGACGUAGCGUGAGUGAAGAAGUAUUUCGGUAUGUAAAGCCCUAUCAGCAGGGAAGAUAAUGACAGUACCUGAAUAAGAAGCCCCGGCUAACUACGUG